AUUGAACGCUGGCGGCAUGCCUAACACAUGCAAGUCGAACGGCAGCGCGUUUGGGGUAACCCAAAUGGCGGCGAGUGGAGGACGGGUGAGUAAUAUGUAGGAAUCUGCCCAGAGAUAAGGGAUGACUUAGGGAAACUUAAGCUAAUACCAUAUAAGCCCGAGAGGGGAAAGCAGGGGAGCGUAAGGCCUUGCGUCUUUGGAUGAGCCUACAUCGGAUUAGCUCGUUGGUGAGGUAAAGGCUCACCAAGGCGACGAUCCGUAGCUGGUCUGAGAGGAUGACCAGCCACACUUGGACUGAGACACGGCCCAGACUCCUACGGGAGGCAGCAGUGGGGAAUAUUGGACAAUGGGGGAAACCCUGAUCCAGCAAUGCCGCGUGUGUGAAGAAGGCCUUCGGGUUGUAAAGCACUUUCAGUUGGGAGGAAGGGGUGAGCACUAAUACUGUUCAUCAUUGACGUUACCGACAGAAGAAGCACCGGCUAACUCUGUGCCAGCCGCCGCAGUAA
rnacentral:rRNA from 1 species